rnacentral:rRNA from 1 species
GAUGAACGCUGGCGGCGUGCCUAAUACAUGCAAGUCGAGCGAACAGACGAGGAGCUUGCUCCUCUGACGUUAGCGGCGGACGGGUGAGUAACACGUGGAUAACCUACCUAUAAGACUGGGAUAACUUCGGGAAACCGGAGCUAAUACCGGAUAAUAUAUUGAACCGCAUGGUUCAAUAGUGAAAGACGGUUUUGCUGUCACUUAUAGAUGGAUCCGCGCCGCAUUAGCUAGUUGGUAAGGUAACGGCUUACCAAGGCAACGAUGCGUAGCCGACCGGAGAGGGUGAUAGGCCACACGGGAACGGAGACGCGGUCCAGAGUCCUAAGGGAGGCAGCAGUAGGGAAUCUGCCGCAGUGGUCGAAAGCUUGACGGAGCAACGCCGAGUGAGUUAUGAAGGUCUUGGGAUCGUAAUACUGUGUUAUGAGUGAUGAACAAAUGUGUAAGUAACUAUGCACGGCGUGACGGUACUGAAUCAGAAAGCCACGGCUAACUACGUG